AGAGUUUGAUCCUGGCUCAGGACGAACGCUGGCGGCGUGCCUAACACAUGCAAGUCGAACGGAGAAUUAGCAAUAAUUCUUAGUGGCGAACGGGUGAGUAACGCGUAGAUAACCUGCCUUCUAGAUGGGGACAACACCGCGAAAGUGGUGCUAAUACCGAAUGUGUUAAGGAGUAAGCAUUUACUACUUAAGAAAGGUGG
rnacentral:rRNA from 1 species